CACGAUGAACAGGAUUUGUUUCCUAUUGGAGCACUUUUAAAUUUUCUUUUUUGUUUUUUUCUUUUUCUUUUGGCAGUCAACCUUACUGUUCAAAGUGUACACUAGUCCUUCUUCUUUACCACUCCACGUUGAUCAGUUUAGUCUCUACACGUAACCAUCCACCGCCUCAAAUGUCUCAACUUUCACCUUCCUAUAUUUCACAUUUACUCUUCAUCUUCUCUCAUAUGUAUCACCACCCACCACCGCGUGACGUAUCACACCUCCAUUACAAUCGAUUCAGAUGCAUUAAUGGGAAUAUUGAUCGACGGCUCCAUUACAAUCGAUUCAGAUGCUUCUCCCCCCCCCCCCCCCCAUCCGCGUGUAGCCAUCGCCGUUGACUUCUGAUAAAAAUAUGACCUUUCUUACCCAUCACCGUCUCUCUCCCAGAUUAGUAGACUAAUAUCACCGGUUUUGUUCUUCACAGUUGAGACCCAAAACGCUUCCACCACCACCGCCUUAUAUGCCGCUGCUCACCACCACCAUAUACGCGUAUACAAACAUGACUGCAGUCGAUCUUCUCCACCGAUUCACUCCGCUGCUUCUGCACAAUCUUCAACCUCCUCUGUUUGUAAACCGAUGAAGCUUCCAACUUGGAUUGGAGGUCGUCGUCCUAUCCUUAUGUCGACUAGGCCUCCUCCUUUUGACGCCAAUCUGUCCGGAGAUAUGAUCAGUAUAAAUGGGUGGCAAGGUUAGUUUUGGAUUUUCUAUUAUUCUCUUCUUUUAUCGAUGUCUUCUUUCUAAGCAAGAAACACAGUCUCCUUCGACUUCAAAACCCUUGAAAACCCCCCUUCUUAUUUUAUGGAGUGAGAAAUUGCUAAAGAGAGAAGGUAUGAUGGACGUUUCAGCCACGGGCGGUAGUUCAAGAGAACUUUCGCCGGAGGAAGAGAUGCUGAUCAUACAUUCCACUUCAAUGGCAGCCGAACCUCUAACCAAAGGAAAAGGAGGUCAUGAGGUGGGGUUGCUACUUUGGAAUUCAAGAGACGCAAUCUUUUCAUUGUUUGAGGAACUUUUGUGGGUAUACAAGUUGGUGUCGCCUCUUAAGCUUGGUAUGGCGGAAGCUACAAGAGUUUGUAAUGCACUUGCCUUGGUUCAAAGACCAUUGGUGUUGAAGUUCACCCUCUGGAUUUCUUCACUAACUGUGGAAAGAUUCAAUUUUACUGAAGGGACACAGCCGGACAGGAGAUAUUUGGUGGUCUUCAUGAUGGUUAUUAGUAAGUAUCUAAUCUGCCAUUGUUUAUUUAUAUCAAAUGUCUAAAAUGCCCUUUAUUAACAAUGACAAUAAGCAUAUUUACUGACCUAUUUGAAUGAUGUUCAACAUUCAUGGUCAAUAUGGCAUCAUCAUGUUUGAUGUAACUGCAAGGUUGACUUACAAGAAUGUUCCCACAUGUGUUUGUGCGAACAUCCCAAUUGUGGUAUGUGGAGACAAAGUUGAUGUGAAGAAUCGUCAAGUGAAAGCAAAACAACUUAGUUUUCAUAGAAAGAAGAACUUGCAAUAUUAUGAAAUCUCAGCCAAGAUUAAUUACAACGUUGAGAAGCAUUUCCUUCAUCUUUCCAGGAAGUUGCUGGGUAAUGCAUCAAGGAACGAGUAGAGUACAACACCAAGAAAGGUGAAGAUCCUCUCUCCUCAGCCCAAAAAGGACGGCGGAGGUGGUGGUGAUAAGAAGCCCAAUGAAAAGCCACCGGAGAAAAAACCUUGAAGAAAAAACCUGUCGAUGACAAAAAACCAAAAGAGAUGCUGCAAUUAAUUAAUGGAAAUGUUGGGUUAUGAGUUUAUUCCAUUAAAUUAAUGAUUUAUCAAAACUUAUAUUGUAUUUGAUUGUUUUUUUUUUUUUGGCGGUGGCUGCUAUAUAGCCUCAACAAAGCACGGUGGUUCUUAAGAUUCCGCUCCACUUUUACUCUAGACCAAUUUCAUUCAAGUAUAUCUUUCCAGUUUGCUAUAAACGGCUUGUGUGUCUCGUCCAAAACAGAGUUACAACCUAUUGCCAUGUUUGUCAUCUACAAAUAAUAAGUUCUAAUCCCGCAACGCGGGUUCCUUCA